rnacentral:lncRNA from 1 species
UGACCAUCUAGCAAUGGUACCCGACGAUCAGAUAGGUCGAAUGUGUAGAACAACAUCCUUAGAAUCCAUGCGGAUAUAGUUUUCAUAUAAUUCAUCCCCUUGACCAAAAUGAUCAUAGAACACCCCAGAGUUCAACUGUCAACUCUGAUCAGGUCGUCCACAUUGUAUUUCAAAAUAUCAAAUCCAUCUGAUGGAUUAUCCUGGUCAAGAUUUUGCUAAAUUGAAAUACAGCGACUCAUUCUUCUCCAACUCUUGGAGUGGUCAAUCCCAUC